CUACGGGAGGCACCAGUGAGGAAUAUUGCACAAUGGGGGGAACCCUGAUGCAGCAACGCCGCGUGGAGGAUGACGCAUUUCGGUGUGUAAACUCCUUUUAUAUGUCAAGAAAAUGACGGUAGCAUAUGAAUAAGCACCGGCUAACUCCGUGCCAGCAGCCGCGGUAAUACGGAGGGUGCAAGCGUUACUCGGAAUCACUGGGCGUAAAGGACGCGUAGGCAGGUUGGAAAGUCAGGUGUGAAAUCCUACAGCUUAACUGUAGAACUGCACUUGAAACUUCUAAUCUAGAGUAUGGGAGGGGGAGAUGGAAUUAGGGGUGUAGGGGUAAAAUCCGUAGAUAUCACUAGGAAUACCUAAAGCGAAGGCGAUCUCCUGGAACAUUACUGACGCUAAGGCGUGAAAGCGUGGGGAGCAAACAGGAUUAGAUACCCGUGUAGUC
rnacentral:rRNA from 1 species